UAGGGAAUCUUCCACAAUGGACGAAAGUCUGAUGGAGCAACGCCGCGUGAGUGAAGAAGGGUUUCGGCUCGUAAAGCUCUGUUGGUAGUGAAGAAAGAUAGAGGUAGUAACUGGCCUUUAUUUGACGGUAAUUACUUAGAAAGUCACGGCUAACUACGUGCCAGCAGCCGCGGUAAUACGUAGGUGGCAAGCGUUGUCCGGAUUUAUUGGGCGUAAAGCGAGUGCAGGCGGUUCAAUAAGUCUGAUGUGAAAGGCGGGGGCUCAACCCCUGGACUGCAUUGGAAACUGUAAAUCUUGAGUGCCGGAGAGGUGAGUGGAACUCCAUGUGUAGCGGUGGAAUGCGUAGAUAUAUGGAAGAACACCAGUGGCGAAGGCGGCUCUCUAGUCUGCAACUGACGCUGAGGCUCGAAAGCAUGGGUAGCGAACAGG
rnacentral:rRNA from 1 species